AGGCUCGCUGUCAGAGCGCCUGUCAGCAGCAUGUCCUGUACAGAGCAGCAGCUGAGCUUUAUUUUGCUUCCCAGACUGAAACCACUGUAGUGCAGUUGGACUUGACGUCUAGCAACACAACAUCACUGACUUUAAACAAGCAGACACGGCGGGUUAGCACGUUACUGACUGCAUUCACAGGCGGCUGCAGGAAUGUUGUGGUUGUGCUAGCUGCUGUGGCUAUCCAGGCUGUCCGGUGUGGGGUCUGACUCCGGGCCAGACUCUGGAAGUUUAGAGUUGGAUCUGCUUUCCAAGCUGCGCCAGACAGCAGAGCUAAGCUAACGCGGCUAAGUUAGCAGUGAGGAGGCUAGCACUGGCUCCCAUCCACCCACCGGGGCCACAGCACCAGACCGGUGUGUCCCUGCCUCUCCCACUCACCGUGACCCCCGUGGAAGCUGCAGCAUUUAGAUCCCCGAGUGAGGACACCCACGAGGGUUUUAUUGUGUCUACCUGGAGGCUGGUUUGGUGCCCAGUCUGGUUUGAUGAAGAAGCUAGCUGCAGAGCUAGAUCAGAAAUGUAACACCCUGAGCUGUCAGUCAUGUCUCAGGCCAGGGGGGACUCUUAUUUAUACAGUCUAUUGGGGACCCAACUUUUUUAUGCAAAUGAGGCACGCCGUGCAGAUGAUGAGCUGGUGUCACCAUGCAGCUGCAUGAGGGAUGAGCUGGAGGAUGAGUGUGUGCAGGGAGAGAGGCUGCAGGAAUCCAGUACCUUGUGAAGUUGGCAUGCUUGCGUCACCGUCAAUGGUUGGAGUCUUGCUGCUGUCACAUUGGUACACGUUUCCUCUGCUGUGCUGAUGAGAUCACACAGACGGAGGCAGAUGCUACAAAGAUGGUCCAGAGGAAGCUGAACUUUGAGUAAUCUGUGAUUGUUGUGAGGGUCUGCAUCAUUCAGAAAAGAAGAAGAAGUAUGGCUGUCUUCACGACGGUUAUCAUAAACACUCAGCUCCUCUCCCACCAGGAGUCUGUCCCGUCCCCUCAUUUAUCUUUCCUCUUGCUUCUUUGGGAAGCGGCCCGACAGGUCUCACAGCCCUGAAGCAUUAGUGAAGAGAAAACUCCACAGCAUUUGGCUAAUGGCUCCACAGUUCCCACAGUGAUUAGGAGCAGAGCACAAACUGCAGUAUUAAGUCGUUGAUUAAGUAGUUAAGAAGUCCUCGAAAGAACCAAAAAGUGCUGGAGACAGCGAUUUGGUAUUGUUUUCAGUCUUUGAGGGAGUUUCACAGAGGACGUUUAAACAGUUUUAUCAAACAGUGCUUUCACUUACUGCUAAAGUGUUUUAAUACGGCUUGUUCUUGUUUGCAGAGCUGCAUUUAACCUCAAAGCUGAAGGGCUGAUUUAAUAAUUCAGUUAAGUCCCUGUAUGCAGACACACACACAUACACACAUAUUUCACAUUGUACCACAAAAUAAACUUCUUUUGAU